rnacentral:rRNA from 1 species
AUUGAACGCUGGCGGCAGGCCUAACACAUGCAAGUCGAACGAGUGGCGGCCGGGUGAGUCCUGUCUGGGAAACUGCCCGAUGGUGGGGGAUAACUACUGGAAACGGUCGCUAAUACCGCAUACCAUCGGAUGUGCCCAGAUGGGAUUAGCUAGUAGGUUGGGUAAUGUCUCACCUAGGCGACGAUCCCUAGCUGGUCUGAGAUGAUGACCACCCCCACUGGAACGGAGACACGGUCCAGACGCCUCCGGGAGGCAGCAGUGGGGAAUAUUGCACAAUGGGGGCAAGACUGAUGCAGCCAUGCCGCGUGUAUGAAGAAGGCCUGCGGGUUGUAAAGUACUUUCAGCGGGGAUGCGUUACCCGCAGAAGAAGCACCGGCUAACUCCGUGCCAGCAGCCGCGGUAAUAC